GUUGACCUCGGAUCAGGUAGGAAGACCCGCUGAACUUAAGCAUAUCAAUAAGCGGAGGAAAAGAAACCAACAGGGAUUGCCCUAGUAACGGCGAGUGAAGCGGCAACAGCUCAAAUUUGAAAUCUGGCCUCGGCCCGAGUUGUAAUUUGUAGAGGAAGCUUUAGGCGCGGCACCUUCUGAGUCCCCUGGAACGGGGCGCCACAGAGGGUGAGAGCCCCGUAUAGUUGGAUGCCUAGCCUGUGUAAAGCUCCUUCGACGAGUCGAGUAGUUUGGGAAUGCUGCUCAAAAUGGGAGGUAAAUUUCUUCUAAAGCUAAAUACCGGCCAGAGACCGAUAGCGCACAAGUAGAGUGAUCGAAAGAUGAAAAGCACUUUGAAAAGAGGGUUAAAUAGCACGUGAAAUUGUUGAAAGGGAAGCGCUUGUGACCAGACUUGCGCCGGGCGGAUCAUCCGGUGUUCUCACCGGUGCACUCCGCCCGGCUCAGGCCAGCAUCGGUUCUCGCGGGGGGAUAAAGGCCCCGGGAACGUAGCUCCUCCGGGAGUGUUAUAGCCCGGGGCGUAAUGUCCUCGCGGGGACCGAGGACCGCGCAUC
rnacentral:rRNA from 1 species